UACGUAGGGUCCGAGCGUUGUCCGGAAUUAUUGGGCGUAAAGGGCUCGUAGGCGGUUUGUCGCGUCGGGAGUGAAAACACCGGGCUUAACUCGGUGCUUGCUUUCGAUACGGGCAGACUUGAGGCAUGCAGGGGAGAACGGAAUUCCUGGUGUAGCGGUGAAAUGCGCAGAUAUCAGGAGGAACACCGGUGGCGAAGGCGGUUCUCUGGACAGUUCCUGACGCUGAGGCACGAAGGUCAGGGGAGCAAACGGG
rnacentral:rRNA from 1 species